rnacentral:rRNA from 1 species
UACGUAGGGUGCAAGCGUUGUCCGGAUUUAUUGGGUUUAAAGGGUGCGUAGGUGGCUGUUUAAGUCAUGGGUGAAAGCCCACAGCUCAACUGUGGAACUGCCUGUGAUACUGAAUAGCUUGAGUGCGGUUGAGGCAGCUGGAAUUGGUGGUGUAGCGGUGAAAUGCAUAGAUACCACCAGGAACACCGAUUGCGAAGGCAGGUUGCUAAGCCGUAACUGACACUGAGGCACGAAAGCGUGGGGAGCAAACAGGAUUAGAUACCCUGGUAGUCCACGCUGUAAACGAUGAUGACUCGCUGCUGGCGAUAGAUAGUCAGUGGCCAAGGGAAACCGUUAAGUCAUCCACCUGGGGAGUACGCGCGCAAGCGUG